AGUGAACGCUGGCGGUAGGCCUAACACAUGCAAGUCGAACGGCAGCACAGUAAGAGCUUGCUCUUACGGGUGGCGAGUGGCGGACGGGUGAGGAAUACAUCGGAAUCUACUUUUUCGUGGGGGAUAACAUAGGGAAACUUACGCUAAUACCGCAUACGACCUACGGGUGAAAGCAGGGGAUCUUCGGACCUUGCGCGAUUGAAUGAGCCGAUGUCGGAUUAGCUAGUUGGCGGGGUAAAGGCCCACCAAGGCGACGAUCCGUAGCUGGUCUGAGAGGACGAUCAGCCACACUGGAACUGAGACACGGUCCAGACUCCUACGGGAGGCAGCAGUGGGGAAUAUUGGACAAUGGGCGCAAGCCUGAUCCAGCCAUACCGCGUGGGUGAAGAAGGCCUUCGGGUUGUAAAGCCCUUUUGUUGGGAAAGAAAAGCAGCAGGUUAAUACCCCGCUGUUCUGACGGUACCCAAAGAAUAAGCACCGGCUAACUUCGUG
rnacentral:rRNA from 1 species